rnacentral:rRNA from 1 species
GACGAACGCUGGCGGCGUGCUUAACACAUGCAAGUCGAACGAAGUGGCGAACGGGUGAGAAAUACGUGAGUAACCUGCCCUCCUUUUUGGGAUAAGCCUUGGAAACGGGGUCUAAUACCGAAUAAAGGGGGAUGGGCUCGCGGCCUAUCAGCUUGUUGGUGGGGUGAUGGCCUACCAAGGCGGUGACGGGUAGCCGGCCUGAGAGGGUGACCCGGCACAUUGGGACUGGGAUAGGGUCCAGACUGAUACGGGAGGAGGCAGUGGGGGAUAUUGCACAAUGGGCGAAAGCCUGAUGCAGCGGCGCCGCGUGGGGGAUGAAGGCUUUCGGGUUGUAAUCCUCUUACGAGAUCGAGCGGGUAGGUGGAGAAGAAGCGCCGGCUAACUACGUGCCAGCAGCCGCGGUAAUUC